AAGGAUUUUCUCAUUUGGAUGGACCGCCAGUGACCUAAAAUAAACCUUCUUUAUUUAAAAAAAAAUAAAUUUAUUUAAUUGGAGGCUAAUCACAGUAUUGUAGUGGUUUUGCCAUACAUCGACAUGAAUCAGCCAUUGGUGAAGGUAAAUUAGCAAACUCAUGAAGGUACGCUCAGGAUGGGGGCGGGGUGGCGCUGGUGCAAGGCGGGGCAGGAAUUUAUCCUGACCCUGCACAACUGGGCAGGUGACAGUUUUUCCUUCCGUGGGCAGGCUCCACUGCCUCAUCUCAUUGGUACCACAGACCAAGGACUCUAGACCUCUCCGGAGGAGACGAAGCAACAGUUUCAGAAGAACCACAAAUCUUGAGAAGAAUUUAACUUCCCUUAAUACCUACAAAGCCCAGCUGCUCCCUGUACCCCCAGAGCCCCCCUAAGAAUGUUAUUUAUAUUUCUUUUUUGGCAUUUUCAUCUUGAAAGAAUAUGCGGUGCCGUGGAAGCCUAAACACAGGCCAAAUGACCUUUCCGGGCUGCGCUCCAGGCCUUUCAGGAGAGCGUCGAGACCACGCAGCGGCCGCCACCGCCCACCUUUAUUCCAACUUUCCGCCGGGAUUGGGUAGGCGGUGCGCUCCGAGGCGCCGCCCACUAGAGGGCACGCUUGCGCGCCUGAGGCGGCCGCGGCCAUCUUUGAUCCCGGCAGUCCGCACGCUUCCCGGAGUUCUCGCAGCGGUCGCGUGGUUCCCGCCUGCGCGGCAGAUAAGGCUAUCCCUGCCUCCCCAACUCGCCCCGUGGCUGACCUGUGCUCGAGACCAACGGCCCCGGCCCUUACCCCUCCGGGCUCCACGUGAAACCUCGAGGCAGUGUCCUGAUGGCCAGUGCCAGCUCCCCGCCCUUUCUACCCGGUGACUCUGGGCAGGAAAUUGCUAGGGGCCUUUUCGCCACCACGCUUCCAGCCACCACAGCUCGCAAGGGUCCCCUCUCAACGACUGCGGGCAGAACGUGGACUCUUUGAAGACCAAGUCGGAGGGCCCAGGGGAUUGGCAAGAUGCCCUCGGGGAAGUGAAAGAGAAGCCCGAGUCCUUUAGGACUUGCGUGUGACCACUUUUGGAAAGGUGUCAGAAAACAGACCAGGGUGCCCGGGACUGGAAAGACUUCCUCGGUUUUGGAACAUUUAAACGCCUCCGUGCUUGUUACUUUUAUCACCCCUGGCUGCCUCCCCAUAGGGACUCCCAUGCAGCAGAGAACUCCUAGAAUGAAAAGCCUUGUGUGUGUGCGAGCUGUGGGGGACAGGCCGAAGAGGGCGCCGGGAUGCUGCGUCCCAGCUGGAGCCAAGCGUGGGUGGUGGUCCCUGGAAGGGAGAGUUCAGACGAGGCCUGUGGGGGUCCCCAGGCAAGGGCAGCUGCUCCACCAGCUCUGCAGCCAGAGCCUAGUAGUUUGGGGACCCCUGACUUCUUGUGGGAAUGGGAAACUCGCCUGGAACCCCAAGAAAUGAGGAAAGUUCCUGGAGAAGGGGGUAGCAAGUGGGAAGGGGCCAAGGCCUUCUAGAGGGCUGGAGAAACACACCCAGCCCUCCACAGGGUUUUGGGGGUUCCAGAGGAGACCCGUCAGUAAAAACCAGGUGAAAGUCACUCAUGCCCGGGUUCCCCCAGUCAGCCUGAUGAAGAGAGGGGUAGUGGAGAAGACAGAAGGGAUCAAGUCUGAGUGGGGGUUGCAGUUUAUUUUCAGACACACUCAGAGGGUGGGAGGUGGCCAGGCAGCUCCCUCUGCAUCCCCUCCCUGCAUUUGGUUUAAUCAAGAACUCCUUUCCCCUGACCUCUGAAUCCCUCAGCUGUGCAAGA